rnacentral:rRNA from 1 species
CACUCCUACGGGAGGCAGCAGUGGGGAAUUUUGGACAAUGGGCGAAAGCCUGAUCCAGCAAUGCCGCGUGAGUGAAGAAGGCCUUCGGGUUGUAAAGCUCUUUUGUCAGGGAAGAAACGGUGAAAGCUAAUAUCUUUUGCUAAUGACGGUACCUGAAGAAUAAGCACCGGCUAACUACGUGCCAGCAGCCGCGGUAAUACGUAGGGUGCAAGCGUUAAUCGGAAUUACUGGGCGUAAAGCGUGCGCAGGCGGUUUUGUAAGUCUGAUGUGAAAUCCCCGGGCUCAACCUGGGAAUUGCAUUGGGGACUGCAAGGCUAGAAUCUGGCAGAGGGGGGUAGAAUUCCACGUGUAGCAGUGAAAUGCGUAGAUAUGUGGAGGAACACCGAUGGCGAAGGCAGCCCCCUGGGUCAAGAUUGACGCUCAUGCACGAAAGCGUGGGGAGCAAACAGGAUUAGAAACCCGGGUAGUCC